rnacentral:lncRNA from 1 species
UUUUCGUCUCAAUCCCUGAAAACAAGUGCGAUCCGAGGCGUAUUCCUCGGUCCAAUCAAAUUCAAAUUCUCUGACAUAAUCUGUAACAAUCCGUAGCACAAUCUAUUGUACUGUUUAAUCUUGGCCGUUGAUUUUCUUCUUUACGGCCUUGAUCAUAUUCUCUAUUUUUGUCUCAUAUGCGGCAUUAAUUAGGUCAUCUUAAUUACCGCUGUCUAUUCAUCAUUAUAGCCAACCUCGGAACUCGUAACCGAUGCGACAGAUAGCCCUUUCUUCUUCCCCAAGCUCCUUUUUGUCUCUUCUAUCUCUUAUAUCUCUUUUGUUUUCCCCUGACGAAAACUCUCCUUCGCCUCUUUGUCGUCUUCUUCAUCUUCCUUCUGUCACGCCCCGGGACCGGCGGAGGCCCUCCCGGUAGCGUGCCCAGACCCGCCAUAUGUCUACACAUAUAAGGCGUCUACGAUAAAAGCGGAAGUAAAAGCAAGAGAUAGAACAAAUAUAAGAAAUGAAAUAACUAGCAACUAGAGAUAUCAGAGCAAGUAAAGUUCUAUCAUCUACACCAAAGUAAAGGAAUAAAGCUAGUCAAACAAAGAUCAUCAUAAGUAGUACAAUAUCUGUCACUAGUACAGAAGUGGUGGUCUCUAGUACACUAGUAAGACCCUCAACCUCUCCAAAAUAAAGUACAACGAGAGGUAGACCACCUAGCGAAUCGUCCUCGAAGGAAGCUAGCUCGAAGUAACUCCCUUUCCGCGGUCCCUAGCCUCUCCCGGCGUGAAAGGCUCUGAAAGAAAACACCAAACAGAGGGCGUGAGAACUAUAAUUUAUAGUUCC